UUAUUUCUGUAUUCCCAAUUCUGUCCCAUUGGUCUUUGUUGUUAUACCAAUACCAGGCUGUUUGGAUUACUGUAGCUGUAUACUAUGUUUUAAAAUAGGAAGUGUGAGUCCUCCUACUUUGUUCUUUUCUUUCAACUUUGCUUUAGCUAUUCGGGGCCUCUUGCCAUUCCAUGUAAAGUUGAGGAUUGGUUUUUCCAUUUGCAAUACUAUAAUCCUUAUACUGCUGUUUACUGAUUUGAUCCCUUAGUUAAAAGAGUUAAAGUUUUCAGCCAAAGUUCUACAUCUUCCAAGAAAUAUUUGACCUAGAACCUAGGAGUUUAGACAUAGAAAGUUUUAUUUAGGCUCUAGAUUGCCAGAAAGGUGGUAUCAUUUAGGGUACAUUUUGAACUGUUUUCACAAAGACCUCAAGACCAAAGAGGUUUUUUGUUGUUUGUUCGUUUUCACAUAGAGAAGCCUUAGAAGCAGUCUAGGGCUGGUAUGGUGGCUUGACUAUGAGUUUACAUCAUAUCCGCAUACUAGCCUAUGAGUUUACAUAAUAUCCACAAGGUGAAGACAUAUUUCUGCCCUGGAAGGACACAAUCCAGAAGUUGUCUGUAUCAUUUCUAUUCCUGUCCCAUGGUUGCAUGUAGCUACAUAUGAAAGUGGGAAAUUUGGUCAAGCUUAGAAACCAUGUGAAGAAGGGAACACACUCUGGGCAUCUAAUAGGCUUUGCCACAAGUAGCAAACAAGUGAUUGGGAUUAGCCCUUCUAGGCCCUUCUAGAGUAUGGCUUUCAUGACACAGGUCAUUUCUCUUAGUGCUUUCUGCUUUUUGUGGAUGUCUUAAAUUUUAAAGUAAGAGUCAUUUGAUUUGCAAGAAAUACAAUUGACCUCUAAUUAUUUUUGGCUUCUUAAUUGUGAAUGAGUUUUGAUCCCUUCUCGAGAAUAGAUUUUGAUAGGUAGAGAAAGGAGAAUCUCAUGAAGGCACGUUAUAUUUGAAAGGGUUAUACUUUGAAGUUGAGGUGGGAUUAGAAGUACUGAAAAUAGCCAGUCUUAAACCAAUAGGCAGUAGGGGGUUAUUUUUCCAAACUAAAGAGAAAACUAAGUUACUUUGCCUAAGUAUAAGUCAAGUUAACAAUGCUAAGUGACCAAAGCAUUUUUUAAAGUUACCUCAAUAUAAGGGAAAGAAUUGCAUAUUCUUUACUACAGUUGUUUAUCCUUGUUGUAAUCUAGUGUCUUUGUAUGAGAGAAGGCUAAUUUCUGACCUUAAGGUGACCGUAUGUAUAACGCAAUGAAAUGUCGCCUGAUCCUGCACCAUCUUCAUGAUCGUUGGUGUAUUUGAGUCCAUUAUUGUGGCUGUUAUGUAGUGUUUUCCAGCCUGUAGGUUCAUCUUCCAGCAUUGUAUCAGACAGUAUUCUGUUGGGAUUCAUAAGGUUUUCAUUGGCUAAUUUUCUGAAGUAGCUUGCUUAAAUAGGUUUCUUCCUAACCUAUUUUAUUCUGGAAGCUCUGCUGAAUCCUGUCCACCAUGGAUGACCCCAAUGGUAAUUGAUAUAUUGAUGGCAAACCUUCCAGCAUCCUAGCAACUUGCAAGCCACCACAGUAUGACAAACUGACAGAGAGGUGGUGGAUUUCUGAGAUUACCAAGCCAAACCCAUUGCGGCCAAGUUGAUUCCGACUCAUAGCAACCUUAUAGGACAGAGUAGAACUACCCCAUAGGACUUGCAAGGAGCAGCUGGUAGAUUUGAACUGCCAACUUUUUAGUUAGCAGCCUGAGCUCUUAACCACAGUGCCACCAGGCAUCGUUUCUGAGACUAGACAAGUGUAAAAUAAUGAUUACUAGGUGAUGAAUACUUAAGGGUGUUGACUCUUGAUUAAAAUUUAACUUAAAAGAGGUUUCAUACCUAUCGUUAGGCCUUUGAAUCUUCAUAAGUCCAAGUAAGGUCUUUUAACUAAUAGUAUCUUCCAUUCUGUUGCCCACAUUAGAAAAGCACUUUGACUUUUGCAACUUGUGAUUCUUGGUCUCAAAGUCCAGAAUAUAUUUAAACAUUCCAGGUAGUAAAUGUAUGACUGCACGUUUUUUUUCAGAUGUCAUGUGAUUUUUUUUUUUUUCCCUUCAUUUUGAGAAAACUGCGCUGUAACUUCAGGCGGUCAUUUAAAAUGAGCAAGAGUAAUCUGUUUUCGAAACAUCUGCAUCCAUUUGUGGUAGGAUAGAUUUUAAAAAUCUGAUGUAAGAAAAGAUUGUGCAAUAUAUUAAAAAUAGGUAUCAAAUAUGUACUGAGCCCAGAGCUUCUAUACGAAGAAAACUCAAGAAUGUCAGAGCUAAUGGAGCAAUGUAGAGGAGGGAUUAUAAUUAGAUAGAAUCUGAUAAAACAUUCAUAAAGUUAUUUAAGAAAAGCUUUAUUGGUUAAAGUAGGCCACCUGAAUGUAGCUCUUCAGUGGAUUAUUUGGAAAGAAUAUGUUCUUUGAUCUGCCUUUGUCUGGAACUACCCAGACUAAUACAGUAGCCAUUAGCUACAUGUGCCUGUUUAAAUGGAAGUUAAUGAAUAUGAAAUAAAAUUGAAAUUUUAGUUACCCAGUUGUUGUAGCCACACAUCAAAUGCUCAAUAGGCACAUUUAGUUAGUGGGUCUAUCGUAUAAUAAAUACAGCACUGGUUAUAAAAUGUUUCUGUCAUUGCAGAAAGUUCUUUUGGACAAAGCUGGGGAAGAUACUGUCUAGUAUCACUUUUGCUUCAGCUCUAGUUUUCAAACUGGGUUUGCGUCUAAUGCUGUUAAUACAGAUUCACUGCAUAAGAAAGUGAGAAGCUAUAGACUUGCUCAUCCUCUGUGCUUUCAUUCUACAAGUUGUCAGAUUUCCACCCUUUUUAGAAGAUAUGUAACUGAAGAGGUAGAUGAAUAAAGGAGAAGAGGAAGGAUAAAUAUAUGGAAGGAGACUUAACCAAGGGAGAAUCUUUGAUAUAAUAAAAUUUAUGAACUAUUGAUAAAAUCAAAUUUAUGGACUAGCCAUAAAUUUGAAUAUUGCCACCUCUACAAUUGUGAGCUGGUAAGGGAAUGAUAUCUCUUAAUCCACUGAAAAAAAAAUAUAUAUAUAGGCAUGGUGGUCAAUGAAGAGAAUGAAUGUUUAAAAAAAAAAAAACAAAUGCUAAACUCUGUUAUUCUAAGUACUUCAUAUACAUUUUCUCGUUUAUUCUUUAGCAUCUUUAUUUUAAGAUGAGGAAAUUGAGGCAUAGAGUGCUUAAAGACAUGACCAAAGGUUACUGUGUCAGUAAAUGGCAAAGCCAGGAUUCAGACCUGUUCUGUAUUAACAGCAGACUGAGCUCUUACUGUACUGUGUUCUUUUCUGUCUCAGUCAUAGUUUCAGCCCCCUUAAAUCCUUUUUUGGUACAAGCUAAUUAGAAGUAAGCAGAUUAGCACAGUUUAUGCCUUCAAGGGAGUUAAGUGCAGGGGCAUCCUAGUCUCCUGAUUGCUUUUGGGACUUGUUAUUUGACUUUAAAGAUUUCUGAGGUUAGCCUACAAGGUGUUAUUCCUUGGUACCCUUCUGCUAACAGCUCUUGUAUAGAUAACUCCUAGUUCUGACACCAAUACUUUAUGUCUGGACCUGUCUCUUCUUUCAGGCUGUAGAAUCGUGUUUUUGGCUGUCUCUGAAUAAAUUCUUAUUUCAGCCUACAGCCCUCAUUCAUUUUCUAUACUUUAUGGUGGUGAUGUGAUCUCUAAACUCAGUACUGCGUUAUAUUUCAUGUCUCAGGUAAGAGUGAGGGCAUCUCACAGCAAACAAUGAUUUGCUGAAGUGUUAUACUCAAACUACCAGACGUCUGUUUGUCCAAUUUCCUUGGAAUUGAAGUUGACUUGUUUGACUUGUCUUUACUUUUAAGUGAUAUUGGCCUGUCUAUGGAAUAUACAGAAUGGCUCAUAAAUGAAGGGAUCAGUGUACACAGAGCCUUUUCUCUUGAGUUUCUUUGCAUUUGCCUCAUUAUACUGUGUUUCUAACGAUCUGGUUACUGCUACCCCUGUGCCAAGCACCGUAUAUGGCACUGAUUUCAUAUACACCCCAUUCUCUACUGGUGAAGAUAGGAAAAAAAUUUUUUUUUUUCUUCAUCGAACCAAAUAAAGGUUAGAGACAUUUUUUGGAUAGGAACAUUUUAUUAAGUUAGGAAAUUGAACACAAGUUUAUAAUCUAUGGUUUACUUUGACUACCAUAGCUUAACUAAAAGUGAACUGGGAUGAGAGUAAAUGGUGCUCUUUAUCUUACUCCUUUCUCUUCAGUCCUGUUUAGGUUAGAUGUUAAAGAUGUGAAAAUUAUCUGGUCUCAUACAGACUUCAGUUGUAUCUGCUUUCAGGUAUGUUGAGAGCCGCAGCCCAUACGAAGAUUUCAGCUCAGACCCCCUGGGGUUAUCUCUUGGUUUGGACCUUUUUAAUCAGUCUUGUUGUGGGCCAGUGGAAAAAGUGCUUCCCCAACACCCUUCCUGCCCUUCUUCAAAGGUUCUUUAUAAAGGUCUCCGAGAAGUUUGUUAGAUUAAAUCAUUGAAGUCUGAAUGACUUAAGUGCUUGUGUAGGCAAACUUAAGACAAAUUUCUGGUAGAUAUUAAAUUUAUAUUUUAAGCAUUUUUAUAAAUCAGUUUUGUCCUCAAGUAUACACGUUGGUAUAUUCUUUUCAUAAACACCAAUUUUAUUAAAAAAAAAAAUUGGUGAGAAUUAAGAAUUGCCAUCUUUAACAAGCUACAAAGCCAAAGCAGUUAUAGCUUCUUUGAGAUACCAUAGAGAACUUCCAUUCUUACAGCUUCCUAAUUUAAAUUCUUGGUUGUUGAACAGGUCACUUGUAUAAAGAUUGUUCGAUUGUUGAAACACUUUCUUUUGCAACCACUGAUACCUUGCUGUUCUGAUUAGUGUUUGUCUCAGUUUCAUCUGACUUUAUUGAAAGAGUACUGUUUGUUCCCAGUUAGUUUCAUGUGGUUUCAGAGACAUCUUGCAGUUUUUGAUAUUGGUAUUGCUAGGAAUUGUGUUCUAUGCCAGAAUUUGCAGAGAAAUUUUAUUCUUAAAUUAAUAGUUGCUAUUUAGUAUUGUUAAUUACCACACUUGCCCUGACAUUACAUUUUGUUUCUCUCAUUCUCCAUCAGUCCGUAUAUAGAGCUCUCUACCCCUGCCCUGCCAACAGAAGACCUGAGCCCAUGUCUCAUAUUCUUGUUGGGCUUCGUUAACUUGCUUAUAUUGUUCUAGUGUCCUUUUUGAGUAGGUAGACUUUUCUUCCAGUUGAUCAGUUUGGCCUCACCUGGGGCCAUCUUUCCCUACCAAGUACUGGGGGCCGACUUCAGUAUUUUGUGUAGUCUAGAGAGGUGUGACUAGGAGCAGAAAUAUUGUGAGUACUUACGCAUAGUCAGUCCCUGGAUUACUAACUAGUUCCAUUCUUAAAUCCGUCUUUGAGUAAGAACAGGUAUAGUUUCUACCUAAUGUCAGUUAGUCAAAUGUUUGUCAUAGUGUAUACUGUACCUUUUUAUGCAUAAAAACUUUAAAGAAACACUUCCAGAUACACUAAAAUGUCUUUAACAUUAUAAUACAGUAAUAAUAAUGUUUUGAUACCCGUUGCAAAGUAGCACGUGUUUAUUAUUACGAACCAUUGUAUGUAGCUCAAAUUUUUAAUAUAAUAGGCUUUAUAAGGGUUGAUUCAUAACUAUGGGUCAGAUAUUCAAAACCUGGGACUGUCUGUACUAGGGACUUCCAUUCUUUUAGACCCUCCACUAAGUAAGUUUUUGCUCUUUGAGGGUUAAGAACACUGAAAUUAUAGAUAUGGAUUCAUAGCCCACUUUUCCCCCAUCUUUUAACUGAGAGCCCUUGGGCAAUUUUCUUAACCCCUCUGUACCUAUUUUCCAACCUAAAGAUGAGAGUGUUAGUAUCUUCCUCAGAGUUGUGAGAAUUAAAUGACGUGUUAAUAGACUUUAUGUACUAUCUCAUUUAUUCAGUAUUAGCUGCUAUUAUUAUUAUCUGAAGGAUGGUUCCAGCUUUCUGUUGCACCAUCAAAAAAGAGAUGAAAAUGUUGAUUUUCAAUAAAUGAUUACUUUUCUGAUAUAAAUGACCAGAUCUGCAUUUUUCCCCCAGGCUGUCUGGUUUAUCAUUGGGCUAUGCUUAAGGAAGGUAGAACUCGCCCCAGAGUCCCUUAAUUAUAUUCUUAUAGAAUAUAGUGUUUUAAAUAUAGAAACAAAAGUAAUGGGGGAGGGAAGGCAGUCAUUUAUAUGAUCUUUCCCUUCAAAUUACCAGAAUGAAGGAGGAAGGCAGUUGUUCAUGAUCUUUUGCCAAGAAGCUAGUGUCAGUUCUUAACAUUUUGUUUUGUCUUCAAGUCUAUAUUGUCUGAUAUUAACAUAACCACUCCAACUUUUUUAGGGUUAUUCGCAUAAGGUAUCACUUUCUACCCUUUCACCUUUAGCCUGUGUUUGUUUUUGAAUCUUAAGUGUAUCUCGUAGAUAGGAUCUAGUGACAUCUUGUUUUUAUCCAGUCUGAUGAUCACUGCCUUUUGAGUGUAAUGCUUAAUCCAUUUAUGUUUAAUGAAAUUAUUGGUAUGAUUGAGUUUACAUCUGCUGUUUUGCUAUUGGAGCCCUGGUGGGUACAGUGGUUUAAGUGUUUAGCUGCUAACCAAAAGGUCAGCAGUUCGAAUCCACCAGCCACUUCUUGGAAACCCUAUGGGGCAGUUCUGCUCUUUCCUGUAGGGUCUGUGUGAGCUGGAAUCAACUCAACAGCAAUGGGUUUGGGUUUUGGGUUUUUUGGGGUUUUUUUUGCUAGUUGUUUUCUAUGUAUCUCCUGCCUUUUUGUUUCUCUGUGCUUCCUUUACUCUUUUUAUGUUAGAUAUUUUCUAGUGGACCAUUUUAAUUCCUACUUUUUUAAAAAAAACUUAUUGUAUGUUAUUGCUGGUUGACCUAGGAAUUAUAAUACGCCUAUUAGCUUUUUGUUAGCUUUUCAGCCUACUUCAGAUUAGUGCUAACUUAAUUUUAGUAUAAUAUAGAAACUUUUCUCCAAUAUAGCUGUAUUUCCUUACCCUCCCUUUGUGCUGUUAAUAUCAUGCAUAUUACAUCAUUUUCAAUUAUAAGUCCAAGAAUACAGUCUUAAAAUUGUUUUUUGCGGUUGACUUUUUAAUCAGUUAAGGGAAGAGAAAAAUGUAGUUAUACUGUCUUGUAUGUGAGUCAGAAUCAACUCGAAAGCAAUGGGUUUUGUUUGUUUUUUUGUGUAUUUACCUACAUAAUUACAUUUACUGUGUUAUUUCUUUAUGUGGAUUCAGGUUACCAUUGGUGCCAUUUUUUUUCAACCUGAAGGGCUUUCUAUAAUAAUUCUUGUAAGGCGGAUCUGCUAGCUGUGACUUCUCUCAGUCUUUAUCUGGUAAUACUUCAUUUUUUUCAUUUUUGAAGAAUAGUUUUGCUGGAUGUAUUAGUUUUCUAUUGCUAUGUAAUAAAUUACCACAAACUUAGCACCUUAAAACAAUAGCAAAUACUAGUUCACUGGUUUCUGUAAGUCAGAAGUCUGGGCAUAGCUUAACUGAGUCCUCUGCUGAGGUUCUCAUAAGGCGUGCAUCAAAUUGUUGGCCAUGGUUGCAGUCCCACCUGAGGCUCAGGGUCCUCUUCCAAGCUCACAUGGCUGUUGGCAGAAUUUAUUUUCUUGCAGCUGUAGACAGCUUUCUUUUUUAAGGCCAGGGAAGGAAUUUUUAUGGUUUCAGGGAAGGCAUAAAUCCUCUUUAAAGGGCUCAUCUGAUUAGGUCAGGCCCACUCAUAAUAAUCUCCCUUUUCAUUAACUCAAAGUCAAACUCAUUGGGGAUUUGAAUUAUAUCUGUAAAAUUCUUUAACCUUUGCCUUAUGGAAGUGACAUCCAUCAUAUUCACAGUUCCCACCCACAUUCAAGGAGAUGUGUGUACACCAGGGGGUAGGAAUCUUGGGAUUCAUCUUAGAAUUCUACCUGCCAUACUGGUUACAGAAUUUUUUUUUUUUUCUUUUCCUUUCCCUACUUUGAAUAUGCCAUCCUGCUGCUUUAUGGUUCCUGUUGUUUCCAAUGAGAAAACCCAUUGCUGUGAAGUUGAUUCUACUCAUAGUAACCCUAGAUGACAGAGUUGAGCUGCCUCAUAGGAUUUCCAAGGCUGUAAUCUUUCUCUCAGGAGCAGACUGCCGCAUCUUUCUCUCAUUUCUAAUGAGAAGUCAACUGUUAAUCUUAUCAUAAGGCCCCUGUAUGUGAUAAUCAUUUUUCCCUUGCUACUUUCAAGAUUUUCUGCUUGUCUUUGGCUUUCAUCAGUUUGACUAUGAUGUGUCUAGGUAUGAAUCUCUUUGUGUUUAACCCUACUCAGAGUUUAUUGAGCUUCUUAAAUGUAUAGAUUGUUGUUAGGUGCCAUCGAGUCAGUUCCAACUCGUAGCCACCCUGUAUAUUACAGAACGAAACACUGCCCAGUCUUGUGCCAUCCUCACAAUUCUUGCUGUGUUUCAGCCCAUUGUUGGACCCACUGUGUCAGUCCAUCUUAUUGAGGGUCUUCCUCUUUUUCGCUGACCCUCUGUACUUUACCAAGCAUGAUGUCCUUCUCUAGGGAUGGUCCCUCCUGAUAUGGCUAAAGUAUGUUAGACGAAGUCUCACCACCCUCUCUUCUAAGGAGUAUUUUGGCAGUGCUUCUUCAAGACAGAUCUAGUCAUUCUUCUGGCAGACCUUGGUAUAUUCAGUAUCCUUCACCAACACCAUAAUUCAGAGACAUCAAUUCUUCUUUGGUCCUCCUUAUUCAUUGUCCAGCUGUCACAUGCAUAUGAGGCAAUUGAAAACGCUAUGGCUUGGGUCAGGGGCACCUUUGUCUUCAAGAUGACAUCUUUGCUUUUUUAACACUUCAAAGAGGUCUUUUGCAACAGAUUUGCUCAAUGCGGUGCAUUGUUUGAUUUCUUGACUGCUUCUUCCAGGGCUGUUGAUUGUGGAUCCAAGUAAAAUGAAAUCUUUGACAACUUCAGUCUUUCCUCCAUUUAUCAUAAUGUUGCUUAUUGGUCCAGUUAUGAGGAUUUUUAUUUUCUUUAUGUUGAGGUGUAAUCCAUACUGAAGGCUGUAGCCUUUGACCUUCAUCAGUAAGUGCUUCGUCGUCUUUUCACUUUCAGCAGAUAAGGUUGUGUCAUCUGCAUAACACAGGUUGUUAAUGAGUCUUCCUUCAAUCCUGAUGCCUCAUUGUUCUUUUUAUAGUCCAGCUUCUCAGAUUAUUUGCUCAGCAUACAGACUGAAUAAGUAUUGUGAAAGGAUGCAACCCCGACGCACACCUUGCCUGACUUUAAACCAUGCAGCAUCCCUUUGUUCUAUCUGAAUGAUUACCUCUUGAUCUAAGUACAGGUUCUUCAUGAGAACAACAUGGAAAAACCAGUGUAGCCCAUUUUAUCAGAUUCUUAAUGAAGGAACAUUCACUUGCCAAAAAAUCCAGAAUGAAUUAACUACUUUGGAUUAUCUGGGAACCUCAGUUAUUCAGAACACAAUCAGGAGCUAAUAAGGAAGCAAAAAAGAAGUAAACAGCAAAGAAUUAAAAAGAAAUUACAGUCUACACUUAAGGUACCAAGUUUUUAUAUACGAAAUACUGUCCUCUCAGAGUCUCUUUGACUCUUACGUAGCAAAAUUCUACCAAGGUUAGGUUAUUAAUUCGAUUAUAUAUUGUUGUGUGACAAACAACCCCAAGAUUUGGUGGCUUAAAAUAAGAAUCAAACAUUCAUUUUAUCACAAGUCUGCAGUUUAGUCAGGUCUUAGAAGAGACAGCUUGUCUCUGUCUCCACAUGGCACCUGCUGGAGCACAGUAAUUGGGACGGGAGAAUUUAUUUCCAGGAUGGCUCAAUCAGAUGGCUGGUACGUUGGUGCCGGCUGCCAGCCAGGAGCUCAGCUGGGACAGUUGAUGGGGUUCUCAGUUCUCCUCCAUGUGGAUAGCUAGACUUCUCACAGAAUGGUAGCUAGGUUCCAAGAGAACAAAUAUUGAUGAGCAAAUAUUCCAAGUGGACAAGCCCCAGUGUACAAGUGCUUGCUAGUUAGUACACCAUUGAUCAAAGACAGUCAUAUGUCCAAGCCAACAUGGGAGAGGAUACAGAAAGAGGUUUAACUACUGGGAGACAUCGUUUUAUUGUAGGCCACUAUCUUAGUUUCUUAGUGCUGCUGCAACAGAAAUACCGCAAGUGGGUGGCUUUUAAAGAACAGAAGUUUAUUUUCUCACAGUUCAGGAGGCUAGAAGUUCAAAUUCAGUGUGGCUGUAGGAGGAGGCCCUCCUUGUCUAUCUCAGGUUCUAGUAGCUAGCAGUCCUUGGCUCCUUGGUGAUCUUCACAGGCAUCUGUCUCCCUCCAUUUGUGCUUACUUAUCUCUAUGUCCAUGCUGUUUCUUAAAACUCAGAAGCGAUUGAGUUUAGAACAGGGCCCUACGCUGAUGGCCCCAUUAACAUAACAGAGAAAAACCCUGUUCCCAAGUGGAAUUACAUCCCCACCUAUAACCCAUUGCUGUUGAGUCCAUUCCAACUUAUAGCGACCCUGUAAGACAGAGUAGAACUGCUCCAUAGGGCUUCCAAGGAGCAGUUGGUGGAUUCAAACUACCAGCCUUUUAGUUAGUAACCCGUAGCUUUUAACCACUGUGCCACCAGGGCUCCAUUCAUAGGUAUAGGGGUUAGGGUUCGAACACACAUUUUAGAGGGACACAAUUCAACCCAUAACAGCAACCAAAGUAAUAGCCUGCUGCAGUUAUGUUCCUUCCUCUACAGCAAAAUAGCUUCUCCGAAGAACAGUUUGCAACCUUUAGGAGCUUAUUCUAAGAAAAGUAUGUAAAUUCCCUAGGUAUAUAUAGCGGCCUCAGUCAGCUCUCAUCAAUUGCAUUUUUUUGCCCAGAGUCAGAGAGCUGCUUAAUGAAGGAGUUGGGAUUGAAACCAGAGUAUCUGUUUACAGAGCCUGUAUGCCUAACCAUUGUAUAUACUGCCUCCCACCUAGAUAAUGUCUGUAUUUAAUCAUGUUAAGGAUACCAAGUGAGAAGCUAAUAAUAUAAGUAUAUUUAGUAAAAACAAGAUUUGUAUUUGUAUACUGAGUGGUUAUAUACCAAAAUGAAAUAUCUACAAAUGAACAUGCAUUAUUCUAAUUUUUUUAAUUGUAAGGAGACCUUUUUAUGAGCCCACUAUGCAAACUCAACCUAACGUAAAAACCAAAAACCCAUUGCUGUCAAUUCUGACUCAUAGCAACCCUGUAAGGCAGAGUAGAACUGCCCCAAAGGGUUUCCAGUGAGCAGCUGGUGGAUUCGAACUGCUGACCUUUCGGUUAGCAGCUGUAGUUCUUAACCACUGCACCACAAGGACUCGCAACCUUAUAUAUGCAUGUGUACAUAUUGUGUUAAACAGAAACUAUUGAAAUAGUCAAGGAUUUCAUUUUACCUGGAUCCACAAUCAAUUCCUCUGGAAGCAGCAGCCAAGAACUAAAUGACAUAUUGCAUUGGGCAAAUCUGCUGCAAAAGACCUCUUUAAAGUGCUAAAAAGCAAAGAUGUCACUUUGAGGACUAAGGUGCACCUGACCCAGGCCAUGGUAUUUUCAGUCGCCUCAUACGCAUAUGAAAGCUGGGCAAUGAAUAAGGAAGACCAAAGCAGAAUUAAUAUUGAUGAAAGUUGAAAAGGUAUAUGGAAUUACUUGGUUUAUGCAUUAAACAGGUCUAAAUAACGGUUUUUUGUUUUGUUUUGUUUUUUUUAGUGUUUUGGAAAUUACACCAUAAGGGUUCUUCUUUUAAAGUAACGGGGAAUCGUAUCACUGGUAGGCCAUGUCCUUAUUUUAAAAAAGAAGAAUAGAAAGAAAAAAAAAUGAAAGAAAGAAACUAAACUAAAUACCUUGGCUUAGUGACAAUCUACAUUUCAAAGGUUCUCCAGACUAAAAGCUUAUUCUUCCACUUAAAUGACUUCUCCCCAGCCAUACUUAGAGUUCAUCUAGGUUAUAAACCAUAUCUCCAGUUAUUCAUGCGGUUCCAGAUUGGGUAAAACAAGUAUCAAAAGUACUGAAGGGAGAGGUAAUAGCUUAAGCACUUCUCAGCUUAUCCUUUAUCUCUAGAUGCAGAUAUUUGGAGAAAUGCAGCCGUUAAUGAGAACUGUAGUGGGGCAUCCAUUUACAUCUCUUAGGAUUGGUUGAAUAGAUUAUGGCCUAUUGAGUAUACUUUUGAUGUCGUUGCCAGUCUCUUUUUUUAAAUGUACACGUGACACUAUCUGAAGAAAUACUAGAAACACCUAGUAAACAUUUUUCUAACAUCUAUUGUUAAGCUAUAUUCAGGUGAUCACAUCUUGAGGCUUGGUUUUCUGCUUGGUAAUCAGUGAUAAUCAGGUUACAUAUAGGGUAUCUGUAGCUGCUGACUUUAAUAGGUCAGCCAGUGUAAGGCCUGCCUUUUUGGAGACUAGUAAUGUUGCAGCUUCCUGUGUUUAGAUUUGAAGGGAGCACUUGUUUUAGCGCUCUGUACCAAGGUUUCAAAAAUCCGUUCUUCAGUAUUAUAAUGUCAGUUUGUAUUCCUGAUGGUCUUACUCUGUACUUUACUUUUGGAAAAUGGCUGUUUUUGUUUUGUUUUUUAAAUAUAAAUAACAGUUUAAGAGCAUCUAUGAGUUUUUUUUUUUUAAUCAGGUAUAUAGAGCCCUCGUGGCACAGCGGUAAAGAGCUAUGGCUGUUAACCAAAAGGUCAGCAGUUCGAAUCCACCAGCUACUCCUUGGAAACCCUAUGGGGCAGUUCUACUCUAUCCUAUAGGGUUGCUAUCAAGUCGGAAUCUACUCGAGGGCAACAGGUUCGGUUUUGGGUUAUACAGAUACACAGACAUCUUAUAACAUUUCAUUUGUUUGAAGUUUUGUCUUCUGGUAUAUUAUUAGAACAAAAACAGCAACAAAAUAAUAUUGAUCAGUUCUCUGCAGGUUUUUAGUCUUGUUCUUUUCUAGUUUUCUGAAUACCUCAGGUAUCUUAUAUAAUUAGUCCAUCAUCUUUUCAUGAGCUGAAUAAAACGUAUUCUCAUCUUGCAAAUGAAAAGGCAAGGUACACAGAAGCUGAGUUUCUCCUGGACCAGGUACAAAUAUCCAUAGCCAAGUGGACUAUAAACCAACCCUCUUCUUACUCUGUCUACUAAAUCCACCAGUUCUGAACAUACGUGUUUACGUAUCUUGCGUAUCUGCACUGUAUUUGGCUUUCCUGCAGUAAACCAGUCUCUCUCUUGAUGGUGGUGGUGGUAGUUGUUAGGUGCCAUGGAAUCGAUUUCAACUCAUAGUGACCCCAUGUGACAGAGUAGAACUAACUACCCAUAGUGUUUUCUAGGCUGUAAUUUUUUUUUUUUACAGUUUUAUUUUUUUUAGUAUUGUACUUUAGAUGAAGUUUUACAGAACAAACUAGCUUCUCAUUAAACAAUUAGCACACGUAUUGUUUUGUGACAUUAGUUACCAACCCCACGACAUGUCAACAAUCUCCCAUUCCCGACCUUCGGUUCUUCUAGUCUGUAAUCUUUACGGGAUCAGAUCACCAGGUCUUUCUCCUGCAGAGCUCCUGGGUGAGUUCAAACCACCAACCUUUCAGUUAGCAGCCAAGUGCUUAAAUGUUACACCACUACGGCUCCUUUCCUAAUGGUUAAAGGCAGGCAAAUAACUUCACUUAAAAAAUGUAAAUUGUGCUCUGACAGUUCUGUAAGUUUUUAAUUUAGCUAGGCAAGUUCUGAAUGGCACCAAAUUUUAUUAUGAAGGGCAGGUGCAAGAAUUAAAAAAAAAAGAGAGAAAUCUUUUUAACUAAAAAAAGAGUAACUUCACUGGCCUAAUGUUAACCAGGUGAUCCAGUUGUGGGGCAAACUGACACAUGCUUCUCCUGAUGUGAUGCAGUGAGAAGGCUUCAACAUCAUUUAGGCACAUUCCUGCCAAAAAUGCAUAACAUGCAGCUGGUCGUGAGGAGUCGGCCAGACAAACCCAAAUGCAGAAUAUGUCUCAAAUAUCUGGUCUGGACUCUAAAAAUGUCUGUGUCUUAAAUGGCAAAAAGGGCAGGGGAGUACCUUUCUGUAUUAAAGGAGAAUAAAAAGACAACUAAAAGGAGCCCUGCUGGUGCAGUGGUUAAAACACUCGGCUGCUAACCGAAACACGUUGGCAGUUUGAACCCACCAGCGGGAGAAAGAUGUGGCAGUCUGCUUUGGUAAAGAUUACAGCCUAGAAUUCUAUGGAAUCGACUCGACAGCAAUAGGUUUGGUUUUUGGUUUGAAAGAGACAACUAAGUGCGUGCUUAAUUAUUGAUUAGAUUCUGCUUUUUAAAAAGUUAGGAAGGAUACCAUUGGGACAACUGGUAAAAUUUGAAUAUGGACUGUAUACAAUGUAAAAUGUCCUGUAUUUGGUCAUUAUUCUGUGGUUAUAUAAGAGAAUGUCUUUUAUUGAAGAUUAACAAUGAAGUACUGAGGAGUAAAGGGGUUAUUUUGUCUGCGUCUUAUUCUCAAAUGGCUUAACAAAAGUAAUUCUGUGCGUGUGUAUAGAAGAUUUACAAGUCAUAUGUAUCAGAAUAGUAACAAUUGGUAAAAGAUAUAGAAGAAUUUAUUAUAGUAUGAGAACUUUUUGCUAAGCUUUUAAGUUUGAAGAAUAUGCAAAAGGAGCAAUAUAAGAAAAACAAAGAAAGACUUAUUGUGCACUUAUAGUGUUAGGUACAGUUCUAAGCAUUUUAUAUGUAUUACUUCAUUUAAUCACUGCAACAACUAUGUGAGAUCAUAUUACAAGACCAUGGUCUUCCAGUGUUACAAAUCUAAUUUGUUUCAAAAUAAUUAUCCCAUAUAGUAUGAUUUCCAAAGUAGUACAAAAUAAAUCAUCUGGAUUAAUUUAAGCUCUAAAUCAUCUAUUACAAUAUACUUUCACAUUGUUAUCCCUAUUUGUAGAUGAGCAAAUGAUAAACAGAGAAGUUAACUUACCCAAGUCACAUAGCUAAGUGGUAUUGAUGGGAUUUGAACCUAGACAGAAACUGAGAUCUUAACCACUAUUCUAAUAUAGAAUAUCACAGAGUGUGUACUUUUAUACGAAGUGAUUCUCUGUGAGAAUUGAAGGUAAGAAAGAGAAGAUAUGACAACUAGUAGGGUUACUGACUUUGAUUUUUUCUCUCGUUAUUAGUAUAUGUCAAAAGCUUUGUGAAACAAAUACUGAAAAUAAUAUCAAAGAUGAUUGAAGUCUCCUAUGCUUUGAUUGAAGCAUUGAAGGCUUUUCAUUUAUAUUUUCUCUAUUUCAUUUAUUUCCGCUCUGAUUCAGUUUCCUAAGGUAGAAGUUAGGCUGUUUAUAUGAGAUCUUUCUUUUUAAAUAUAGGUAUUUAUAGCUGUGAAUUUCUCUAUAAGUACAGCUUUAGCUGCUUUUAUGAUCUUUUGAACCAGGCAGACAUGUGAUAUAAUAGUUUCUAAUCCUGUUAUGUACUAAUCAUUGGGGAACUUUUUAAAAGGGCCAAUUUCCUUAGAAAUUCUGAUUUAGCUGGCCUGACUGUUUUUUUAAAAGAGUACCCAGGUUGCUACCAUGUGAAAGCUCAUUGAGCUACAGGUAUCCUUUAGUAUUUGUACAUUUUUCUAUAUAUGUUAUGCUGUUGUGUGCUGUCAAGUUGAUUCUGACUCACAGUGACCCCACAGGACAGAGUAGAAUUGCCCAAUAGGGUUUUCUAGACAGUAAUCUUUAUGGGGAACCCCUGGUGGUGUAGUGGUUAAGUGCUACAGCUGCUAACCAAAGGGCCGGCAGUUCGAAUCCACCAGGCGCUCCUUGGAAACUCUAUGGGGCAGUUCUACCUUGUCCUAUAAAGUUGCUAUGAGUCGGAAUCGACUCGACAGCACUGCGUUUGGUUUGGUUUUUUUGGAAUCUUUAUGGGAACAGAUUGCCACUUCUUUUCUCCCAUGGAGCAGCUGGUGAAUUUGAACUGCCAGCUUUUCAGUUAGCAGCCAAAUGCUUAAUCAUCGUGCCACCAAAGCUCCUAUAUGUGUUAUACUGCCAUUAAGAAAUUGUUUAAGCUUCCCAGGUGAUUCUAAGGCAUAACCAGGUUUAAGAACUAUUGAUUUUUUUACUUCAGUGGGUAGGGUAGGGCAUGGAAUGGUGAUUUUGGAUUGACUUUUUUGCUCUGACUUUCUAACAUUAGAGUCCCAUAUUUAGAUAUGAUUUUUAAAGCUCCUUUCAGUGCCAGAUGUGAAUGUUAAUAUGUUCUUGGUUUCUCGCUCCCUCAAUAAUAUAGAUGAUCUAUCUACAGUUUUCCAAAGAAAUGUUACUAAGUUGUUGUCAUGUGCCGUCAAGUCAAUUCUGACCUAUAGUGACCUUGUAGGACAGAGUUAGUGACCUUGUAGGACAGAGCAGAACUGCCCCAUAGGGUUUCCUAUGCUGUAAUCUUUUUGGGAGCAGGUUGCCAGGUCUUUUCUCCUGCAGAGCCACUGGUGGAUUGGAGCCACUGGUGGGUUCGAACCACAGACCUUUUGGUUAUCAGCUGAGAGCUUAACCAUUUUGCCACCAGGGCUCCUUGUGUUUUUAAAUGAUGGUAACAAAUUAACUAGAAUUUAGCUUUUAAUGAUUAACAAAGGCAUAUUUUAAAUAUAAAAUAAAAUAGUUUUUGUAGACUUUAUGGCUUCUAGGCAUAAAACUUAACUUUUUGAGAAGCAGAUAAUUAUAAUUCUCUGCCUUUAUAAGUGUUAUUUUGGUCCUUAGCUCUGGGAUACCUUUAAAUUAUUGUUCAUAUUGGGUUUCUUCAUAUAGACAUUAGUGAGAGCUACACAGCUUACUUUUAAAAGUGUUGAGUAUUUGAUAUAAAUAUUUAUAGGAACCCCUGUGUUUGUUUCGUAUAUGCAGUGAGACAUGAUUCGUAGAGUUUUCAUAACCCUGUGAGUGAAACUGAAAAGUCUGAAAGUAGACAAAGAUCUCUCAAACUUACCCUCUUCUGCAUUUACUAACACACACGUAUACAGAUACAGAUGAAGACUGUGGCUUAGGCUGUGGUUCUUGCCUGAUGAUAGACUUUACUUUUGCUUUUCUCUGAUCACUGAGAUCAUAUUGGCUGAUUUAUUAUUUCCUACAAAGAGCAGGUAAAAUAUUUCCUACAAAUAUUAUUAUUUCAUACAAGUGGCCGAAGAGUUUGACACUUUUACCCAUUAGGAAAUAAAGCGCUGCUCCUUAUGCAUACAUGCGGCUAAUCUGUCAAAUUCUAUGGGUUCUGUUUCUGUGUUAACUUCUUUGUUCUGUAACCUCCUUUGCUACUGCUGUAACUCAAGCCUAGAGUUUUAGCAUAUCACUUUCCUGCUCAGAGAUGUUUGGUAAUUAACUGUGAUAAUUCAGUGGCUUAAACAGAAAACCUUAGCACUUUCCAUGUGUCUAUUUUGAUCAAGUAAGUUGAAUUUAAAGUUCUUGAAAUGAUUAAGAAGGGAGCCCUGGUGGCCCAGUGGUUAAUUGCUCAGCUGCUGACUAAACGGUUGGCGGUUUAAACCCACCAGUCGCUCCCAGGGAGAAAGAUGUGGCAGUCUGCUUCUGUAAAGAUUACAGCCUUGGAAACCCUAUGGGUAGUUCUACUCUGUCCUAUAGGGUCGAUAUGAGUCAGAAUUGACUAGGUGGCAGUGGAUUUGAUUUUGGUUCUGUUGUGGUGAAGAAGGAGUUAACAAGCAGAACUUAAUUACUCUAAAUGUAAUGGGCAAAUAAUAUUAAAAAUUUCUUGACACAGCUUUAUCAAAGCUCUAAAGGAGUCUUCACACAAGAAGAGAAAUUAUAGCCAGGUACGAAAACUAAAUAAAAAUUUUCUUAAACUAAACCAUGAUCCUUUAAUAUAUAAACUAUCCAACUAUAAGCUAGUCAUAGAAGAGAAGGGAUAUUCCCCUCCUACUCCCCCUCCCCAAAAGGUGGGGUCUACUUGCUCUAUUAGAAUGAGUCAGAUAUAGUCAUGAUUGUGUCAAAAGUUCAAAAGGGAAAAUGGAAGGUAAAAUGAGCUGAAUUGGCUCACUUCCCUCAACGUUGUACCUGUAAGCUUGAUAUGUUGUUUCAGAGAUUAACUUUAUAGACUUCCGUGCCCAGAAGUAUGAAAAUUCUUAGGGAACUCUUUUCACAAGCUUGAUCUUAACGUAUUGAAUAAAGAGAGCAGUUAAUCCCUUUUGUAAAGUAAUUUGAGAGGAGGGAAUUCAAAAUGUAAAAUCUCACCUGCAGAAAACACCCAAUUCUGUAAAGGCCCUUCUAUCGUUAGACACUUACAAAGACUUAAUAUUUUAAUGCGGAAGGGUGAACCUGGUUAAAAAGCCAAUGGGUGAAAUUAGAGAGAAAUAAUCCAGUGCUUUAUUGCUGGGAGUUAUCAUCCUGCUCUCCAGGGGACUUAAUUUUAUUCCCUGUGGGGGAGGAGAAUACCCCUCUGUACAGCAAGCCGGCAUCUCUAAAUAUAAGCUUGACUUUUAGUAUAAUAAGAGUGUUGUUAGGUGCAAUUUUGCUCCUAGGCAUUAAUACAAUGAACAAAUGUUGUGGUUACCUGGGAAAGAAAAUUCAAGUGCUUUUAAACCUCUUGUGAUAUUUGGUUUCAUGCUUGAAACCUAUACGGUGUUAUGCCCAAUAGCAUCUGUAGAAGAUUUCAAGCUGUAAGGUAUACAACAUAGAAGUUAAUACACUUUGGAAAAAAAAUGAGACCACUGCAAAAUGGGUUUCAGGUCCUGAAUAAAAAGCUUUUCUUUUGCUGAAUGACAUUUACUUAACCAGUGGCAUUAAGUUCAACAAAUGCCUGGAGUUUUCUUAGGAGUUGAAUUUUGCACAAUGUUGUUGUCCCUGUAUACAAAGUAGGAAGCCAGUCUUUCCCUCAGGUGGCACUUACCUUUUUUCUACAAUUCUACAAACUCAAAGACUAAGGACAAAAUACAAUCUAAGAAAAUUUGUGGUAUUAAAUAACAUUUCCAGCAAGUUACGGCUUGAAAUGUGUUAGAUCAUUUCUGUCCCCUACAAACUUUCAGUGAUACCGUUGGUAUUAUUGAUUGCCAUCGAGUCCAUUCCAACUCAUGGCAACCCCGUGUGUUACAGAGUAGAACUGUUCUAUAGAGUUUUCAAGGCUGUAACCUUUGGGAAGCAGGUCACCAGGCCUUACUUCCAUGACACCUUUAUGUGCAUUUUAAAAUCUAUUCUUGAUAAUAAAAUACUAGUAUCAAACAGCUCUGCUAGAAGUGCUUAUUCAGAAAACUUUUUUAUUGGAUUCGAUAGCAUAGUUUCUCUUUAAGAAGAAUCCUGUAAAAGAUAGAAGUCUUUCUUUGUUAACUUUUUUUAAGUUUAGAAGUUGACAGAAGUAGCAAGUAGUAGCCUUUGUAAUCUUGUAGAGAACAAUGUCUCUGAAAGUUUUUUUCCUUUUUACAUUCAGAUGUAACUUACAAAGUGCUGGGCAUUAUGUUUUCAGUUCUUAAACUUGCCCCCAGCCUGUACUCGGGAUCUAUUAACCUGAUCUAAUGUUAAAAAAAAAAAAAAAAAUUUUUUUUUUUUUUAAUGUAUGUGACUCUUAAUUUCUUACUAGCGGUAAGAGUUUGGAUGCUGCAACUCCUCACCUGCUCUUUUCUGGCAUAUUUUUAAGAAGGCCAUUAUGAAUAGUGCUUAUUCAUUUCUUUCAUUAUACAAGAGCAAAUCUAGUCCAGGUAGGUGCCCUUGAGUCGAUUUCGACUCAUAGCAACCCUGUGUACAACAAUCCAGUACUAAAAAAAAAAAAAAGCCAAACCCA